rnacentral:rRNA from 1 species
UACGUAGGGUCCGAGCGUUGUCCGGAAUUAUUGGGCGUAAAGAGCUCGUAGGCGGCUUGUCGCGUCGUUCGUGAAAACCCGGGGCACAACUCCGGGCUUGCGGGCGAUACGGGCAGGCUAGAGUUCGGUAGGGGAGACUGGAAUUCCUGGUGUAGCGGUGAAAUGCGCAGAUAUCAGGAGGAACACCGGUGGCGAAGGCGGGUCUCUGGGCCGAUACUGACGCUGAGGAGCGAAAGCGUGGGGAGCGAACAGG